rnacentral:rRNA from 1 species
AUUGAACGCUGGCGGCAGGCCUAACACAUGCAAGUCGAACGAGUGGCGGACGGGUGAGUAAUGUCUGGGCAACUGCCUGAUGGAGGGGGAUAACUACUGGAAAAGGUAGCUAAUACCGCCUACCAUCCGUUGUGCCCAGAUGGGAUUAGCGAGUGGGUGGGGUAACGGCUCACCAAGGCGACGAUCCCUAGCUGGUCUGAGAGGAUGACCAGCCACACUGGAACUGAGACACGGUCCAGACUCCUACGGGAGGCAGCAGUGGGGAAUAUUGCACAAUGGGCGCAAGCCUGAUGCAGCCAUGCCGCGUGUAGGAAGAAGGCCUUCGGGUUGUAAAGUACUUUCAGCGGGGAGGCGUUACCCGCAGAAGAAGCACCGGCUAACUCCGUGCCAGCAGCCGCGGUAAUAC